UACGAAGGGUGCAAGCGUUACUCGGGAUUACUGGGCGUAAAGGGUGCGUAGGUGGUUGUUUAAGUCUGCUGUGAAAGCCCCGGGCUCAACCUGGGAAUUGCAUUUGAGACUGCGUAGCUAGGGUGCGGAAGAGGGAAGCGGAAUUUCCGGUGUAGCGGUGAAAUGCGUAGAUAUCGGAAGGAACACCAGUGGCGAAAGCGGCUUCCUGGUCCAGCACCGACGUCAGGCACGAAAGCGUGGGGGAGCAAACAGG
rnacentral:rRNA from 1 species